rnacentral:lncRNA from 1 species
AUUUCAGUGUAUACUUUGUAAUUUGUUUUGUCAGUAUAUUUUUUUAUUGCAUAUUAGAACAUUAGUCAUUACGCAAUUUACUAAACUGUAUACAUAAUAUAUUUUUUUAAAGUCAUUAGUUUCAUAAUAACAAUGAUGUGUAUUAGAGGUGAAUGUGUAGCUGUAUUUUGACUGGUUUAUACUUCUAUCAUUUCCAGGUUGAGUCAAAAAUAUAUUAUUAAUAAGCAUGUAUUGUAUUUCUUUUACUCUCCACUUCUCCACAGCUUAAGAGCCACAUAUUAAAAAAACUGUGAAACAAUUACAAGUUGUUUAAAUAUCUACUAAUAAUAAGACUUUCACAGUUGCUAUAAAUUUCAUAAGUAAAAACAUUUAAAGAAUUAGCUGCACAGGGAAUAAUGAGGAUUAUUAACAGUUAGGUAGCAAUUUGUUCUCUUAUGAAAUUACUAUCCAUGACCCUAAAAUAAGUGAAAGAAAUUAAAUAAGUGGUAAUAUAUUUAUGUUGAAUGGUAUUGCUUUCACUAAUCCAUCUUGCUUUGGCACUUAACAUUUGUUAAACUUUUGUUUUUGUUUUAAAACAAUGACAUCUAUUAGAUUAUAUACCGUGAGUAUGAUACAUGCAAUUUUACACAGUCAAAAGAAGGUGGUAUUCUUCACCAUUUUCCUCAAGUCUUUGGAGGACACGCAGAGAGAACUUAUAUAUUAGUUCCCUCUAUAGAUUACAUGCAAAAAUGAAGACCUUUUACUUGCCACAAAGACUGGCUAAUAUCAUAACUCAUUCUAUAAAGUUUAAUGUUCAAUAAAAAAUGUUUGGGCCAAUUUAAAGACAGACAAACAUCAGGCCUAAAUAUUUUUAAACAAAGGGAUAAUUUCCAUUCCAGUCAUUUAUGGAGUAUUCUUAUCAGUGUCUUAUUGAUUCAUUUCUAAAAUGAAUACUUAUGCUAUUGCCAUUAAUAGAGUAUCCUGAUCAGUGUCUUUUUGAUUAUUUUCUAAAAUAAUAUGUAUGCUAUUGCAUAGGAGCAACAUUAGUUAAAACGGAAACCAAAAAAGAAUGACUCAGGAACUGCAAAAACAUAUCCUUGAACAUGCAUUUAUUUUGAUAAAAAUCAUAUAUCUUUUCUGUGACAUUUUUCAAUAAAGCGUUAAAAAAAAAAUUCAAGGGACCAGCCCUUUACGACCAUUAAAAUAUCCAUUCUUGAACCCAAAGUUUGCCAGUUGUUCAUAGCUAAUUUUCUACUGUACAACACUGCAUGAAUCUAAACUGUGAAAUGGACAGUAAGCCAGAGCUCUCUUUAUGUACGUGGGAACAAGUAGCUGGAGGCACAAAUGACAGAUGUGGUCUCCAUCUACCUUCUGCCCAAGUGCAAUGAUUCUAAUCUGCAGUACAAGUACGAGUGAUACUGUUCUCGAUAUCUUUCAAUAUACUUACACACAUUGCACAGUGCAUAGUGCAAUGUAGACUGCUGGGGAUUGCCCUACUUUAGAGUAAGUUCCAAAAUGCAAUUCCCUCUCGGUCCCUCUCUUUGUACAGAACAAGCAUUAGCAAUAUAGCAACCAAAUCUUAAUAGAUUGAUUUUUUUUUUUCAAAAUAGAAGCCAAUUCCUGCUGGCAUUUAUAGGAACACUCAGUAGGGAUAAAACCAUCUGUUCGUUACUUUAAGAGUGUUUUCAUACCUAGUUAGAUUACUUGACCUUCCUUAACAAGUAAAAUAAAAUAUAUUUUACUUAACUUUAGCCUCAAACACACUGGCCUUUUAAUGUGAUAAUUGUCCCCAGCUUUCACAUGGUAGGAUCUGAAGUUGAAUGGAAAAAAAUCUUUGUAUAAAACAUUACUGAGUAGCACUUUCAAUUGGAUUGUUCUCCGUGACUGGUGAGAUUUCAUGUAUUUCAUGUAAUUGGAAGAUUUGUUUUCUGUCAGCUUACACAGAUAUGCUCAUACUCACUAUGUCACUGAUAGCUAAUUUUUUUUUUUUUUAAACUCAUCCCAUCAAAAUGUCCCAGUUAUUAAUAUCUAAACAAUGACGGAACCAAUGCUUCAUACAGAAAACCCAUCCUUUUUUCUUGCAGUCUGUGCUAUGGAGCAAAGACGAUUCUAUGUUUUGUAUUUGAAAGCAAACCAUAAUUUUUGCGUGUGGUCUGCAUUUUGCAGAAGUCUGUGUGUGUCGUGUUUGAUAUGGGUGCUAUGUGGUUGCCUUAUGUGUAUUGAAGGUGAAGCGAUAACUAUGGGUGUCCUAUUCAAUGUGGGUUUCAUGUGAGUAGUAGAGCAUGCUAUAGGUGAAUGUUGGGUACUAUAAGUCAUGUCGAUACCAUGGUUAUAAAUAUUGGUUGGUGUUUGUGAGUACAUCAUUGGUUCGAAGAUUUGUGUUGAAUUGGUGAAAUAUGAAUGGCAUAAGGCACAUAUUUUAGAUGUCCAUGGAUAAUUGACUUUCAUAACAUAAUCUGGUUCCUGAGUUGUACAAAUAGAACAGAAUCAGAUAUUAGUAUUUUAUGAGCCAAUGUGAAGUUAGGACAAUUUCAAAAUUUCAGCUUCUAAAUAAAAAUAGCAUGCCUGAUCUUACUGUAGGCAUGCUCCAAACCAAUAGAACACCCACUCUGUACAAGAAUGAUACAAGCAAAUUAAUACAAUACUUUUAAGUGUCCUCUUUAUAUUAAUUUGCUGGCAUCAGCCAUGAACUGGAUGUUUUUUAUUUUUUAUUUUUCAGUUUGAAUCUUUCAUUUUAAUGUUCGCCCUUUUUUAGGCCUAGACCAAAUGUGUUAAUUACAUCUACUCCCUGUGUAAUGUUUCAAUACAGUACCAAAAGUUUGUUAAAACCUACAAUUCAGGCAUCAUAUGAGACAGUUGAUUGAUUGGAUUUUCUGUUCUGAACAGGCACAAAAAAUAAAUAAAUUUAUCUUUAUAACAUUGGUUUUGAACUGUAAAUAGUAAUAAAAAAUGCUUUUUAAAAUCAACUUCCAAUAUGUGAAAAACAAACAAAAAAGUUGCUAUUCUGUCUUUAUAUUUUACCAGUGCUUCACUAGCUUGUGUUUCCCCAAGACAUUAAUAGAAGAACCUCUUUCAGCUUAUAAUAUUCAGCAUUCCUGGAAGAAAUAAAUAUAUAAAAUGUUUAUUGACUGGAAUGGAAUCUUCCAUUAAACCGGAAAUAUAGAUCUACAGUUGUAGAAUAAUUAUCAAUAUUAUUGUGUUGACCAACUCUUAAAAUUGAUGUAACUUCCUUAUAGUUGAGAAGUAUAAUCUAAUUUAUUUCAAUAACUAGGUGUAUAAUUUCCUAGGUUUAAAUGGUUGUUUCUAAAUCACAGCCCUAAAAUUCAUUAAAAAAUAUGCCAAAUUUAUUUUAUUUUCUAUUAAAGCAAUAUAUAUUGUGUUGUAAUAUUAUGUGACAUUCUGUGAACUUAUUGUUAUUUAUGCUUUAAACAAUUAUCUGAAAUGUUAUUGUUUU